GCCAGGUGUGGUGGCUCAUGCCUGUAAUCCUAGCACUUUGGGAGGCUGAGGCAGGAGGAUCCCUUGAGCCCAGGAGUUCAAGACCAGUCUGGGCAACAUAGGGAGACCCUGUCUCUU
rnacentral:SRP_RNA from 2 species